UGACAUCAAUGACAUCCAAGAACUCAUCAAUGACAUUUUUCUUUCUUCCUCUUCAAUUCUUCUUCUUCACAAACAAUGACACCAAGAACUCAUCAAUGAUAUUUCUUUUUCUUUUUCUUCUUCAUUUUCUUUUUUCUUUUUCUUAUUCAUUUUCUUUCUUCUCUUCAACAAAACACAAAAAACCAUGGAUGCUCCCCCCACACACCAAAUUCUAAAAUCCCAUAAAAAAUUAAUAACUAAUUCUAUUCCAUUUCAAGAACACACACCCCAAAUGGGUCUAUCUUCAAUUCCAUC
rnacentral:lncRNA from 1 species